GCUGAUUCGUCUGUGGACACUGAGUUCAUCUGGAGAAGAUAAAAGUGAAGCACAGAGUGGGUGAGUGGCUCCUCAUGGCCUUUUUGGAAGCUGUGCUUGGAGAGGAGCAUUUUGGAUCCCAUCUGUGCACAAUGAGGACUGCGGACAGAUGCCCCAUCUUCACCCAGGCAAAGGGUGGCACAUCACC
rnacentral:lncRNA from 1 species